CAGGAAAGAUUGCUUCACGUGUAAUGAAAAGCUAGUGUCCAGAAGAUCACUGCGGCCAGAUGCCAAUUUUGAUGCCCUCGUCAGUAAGACUUGUCCAAGCCCUGAUGUAUGUGAAGCUCAUCAGGAGGGAAUGCUAGCAAGAAUCAGCUAACACAAUAGCAGCAAGCUUUCAGUGACAGCGUUCAGGAAGGGUGAUGAUUCAGGCUGGGACCAGGUGUAUGGGAACUGUAUAAUCACAGCCUGACCCUUUGUUUGACCACCUGAGGCGAGUGCUGAGUCAGCUGCAGGGGCACAGGUGAUGGCAAUUUCAGCUGAGUGACCG
rnacentral:lncRNA from 1 species